rnacentral:rRNA from 1 species
UACGUAGGGUGCGAGCGUUGUCCGGAAUUACUGGGCGUAAAGAGCUCGUAGGUGGUUUGUCGCGUUGUCCGUGAAAACUCACAACUCAAUUGUGGGCGUGCGGGCGAUACGGGCAGACUGGAGUACUGCAGGGGAGACUGGAAUUCCUGGUGUAGCGGUGAAAUGCGCAGAUAUCAGGAGGAACACCGGUGGCGAAGGCGGGUCUCUGGGCAACAACUGACGCUGAGGAGCGAAAGCGUGGGGAGCGAACAGG